rnacentral:rRNA from 1 species
AGUGAACGCUGGCGGCAGGCCUAACACAUGCAAGUCGAACGGCAGCACAGAGGAGCUUGCUCCUUGGGUGGCGAGUGGCGGACGGGUGAGGAAUACAUCGGAAUCUGCCUAGUCGUGGGGGAUAACGUAGGGAAACUUACGCUAAUACCGCAUACGACCUACGGGUGAAAGCGGGGAUCGCAAGACCUCGCGCGAUUAGAUGAGCCGAUGUCCGAUUAGCUAGUUGGCGGGGUAAUGGCCCACCAAGGCGACGAUCGGUAGCUGGUCUGAGAGGAUGAUCAGCCACACUGGAACUGAGACACGGUCCAGACUCCUACGGGAGGCAGCAGUGGGGAAUAUUGGACAAUGGGCGCAAGCCUGAUCCAGCCAUGCCGCGUGGGUGAAGAAGGCCUUCGGGUUGUAAGCCUUUGUCCGGAAAUGAAAAGCACUGGAUUAAUACUUCGGUGUUCGUGACGGUACCGGAAGAAUAAGCACCGGCUAACUUCGUGCCAGCAGCCGCGGUAAUACGAAGGGUGCAAGCGUUACUCGGAAUUACUGGGCGUAAAGCGUGCGUAGGUGGUUCGUUAAGUCUGAUGUGAAAGCCCUGGGCUCAACCUGGGAAUUGCAUUGGAUACUGGCGGGCUAGAGUGCGGUAGAGGAUGGCGGAAUUCCCGGUGUAGCAGUGAAAUGCGUAGAGAUCGGGAGGAACAUCUGUGGCGAAGGCGGCCAUCUGGACCAGCACUGACACUGAGGCACGAAAA